GGCGGGCUAGCGUAAUGGUUAACGCGCCAGUUUCCGGUGGUGUGCGGAUUCCGCACUCGAAACGUUAGCUGGAGAUUCUGGGUUCGAGUCCCAGGUUCGUCG